UACGUAGGGGGCAAGCGUUGUCCGGAAUCAUUGGGCGUAAAGCGCGUGUAGGCGGCCCGGUAAGUCCGCUGUGAAAGUCCAGGGCUCAACCCUGGAAGGCCGGUGGAAACUGUCGGGCUAGAGUCCGGAAGAGGCGAGUGGAAUUCCCGGUGUAGCGGUGAAAUGCGCAGAUAUCGGGAGGAACACCAAUGGCGAAGGCAGCUCGCUGGGACGGUACUGACGCUGAGACGCGAAAGCGUGGGGAGCAAACAGG
rnacentral:rRNA from 1 species